rnacentral:rRNA from 1 species
AACGAACGCUGGCGGCAUGCCUAACACAUGCAAGUCGAACGAGACCUUCGGGUCUAGUGGCGCACGGGUGCGUAACGCGUGGGAACCUGCCCUUAGGUUCGGAAUAACUCCCCGAAAGGGGUGCUAAGACCGGUUAAUGUCUUCGGACCAAAGAUUUAUCGCCUUUGGAUGGGCCCGGGUUGGUUUAGCUAGUUGGUAGUGUAAAAGCAUACCAAGGCGACGAUGCAUAGCUGGUCUGAGCGGCUGGUCAGCCACACUGGGACUGAGACACGGCCCAGACUCCUACGGGAGGCAGCAGUGGGGAAUAUUGGACAAUGGGCGAAAGCCUGAUACAGCAAUGCCGCGUGAGUGAUGAAGGCCUUAGGUUUGUAAAGCUCUUUUACCCGGGAUGAUAAUGACAGUACCGGGAGAAUAAGCUCCGGCUAACUCCGUG